rnacentral:lncRNA from 1 species
AGCUGUGAAUGAAUGUUAGGAUGUUUGUACGCAUAGAUGAAUGUUAGGAUGUGAAGGUAUAGAUGAAUGUUAGGAUGUUAAGGUAUAGAUGAAUGUUAGGAUGUGAAGGUAUAGAUGAAUGUUAGGAUGUGUGAUGGCAUAGAUUAAUGGCUUAGUAUAGAUGAAUGAAUGUAAGGAUGUUAAGGGAUAUAUGAAUGUUAAAAUGUUAAGGUAUAGAUGAAUGUUAGGAUGUUAAGGCAUAGAUGAAUGUUAGGAUGUUAAGGCAUAGAUGAAUGUUAGGAUGUGAAGGUAUAGAUGAAUGUUAGGAUGUGUGAUGGCAUAGAUUAAUGGCUUAGCAUAGAUGAAUGAAUGUAAGGAUGUUAAGGG